rnacentral:rRNA from 1 species
UGGGGAAUAUUGGACAAUGGGCGCAAGCCUGAUCCAGCCAUGCCGCGUGUGUGAAGAAGGCCUUUUGGUUGUAAAGCACUUUAAGCGAGGAGGAGGCUACUUGGAUUAAUACUCUAGGAUAGUGGACGUUACUCGCAGAAUAAGCACCGGCUAACUCUGUGCCAGCAGCCGCGGUAAUACAGAGGGUGCGAGCGUUAAUCGGAUUUACUGGGCGUAAAGCGUGCGUAGGCGGCUUCUUAAGUCGGAUGUGAAAUCCCUGAGCUUAACUUAGGAAUUGCAUUCGAUACUGGGAAGCUAGAGUAUGGGAGAGGAUGGUAGAAUUCCAGGUGUAGCGGUGAAAUGCGUAGAGAUCUGGAGGAAUACCGAUGGCGAAGGCAGCCAUCUGGCCUAAUACUGACGCUGAGGUACGAAAGCAUGGGGAGCAAAGAGG